UUAGGUAUGUACCAGUGGGAUGUGGAGGUUUAGGGCUGAUUUGGUGGUCUGGUUAGGUAUGUACCAGUGGGAUAGGAGGUUUAGGGCUGAUUUGGUGGUCUGGUUAGGUAUGUACCAGUGGGAUGUGGAGGUUUAGGGCUGAUUUGGUGGUCUGGUUAGGUAUGUACCAGUGGGAUGUGGAGGUUUAGGGCUGAUUUGGUGGUCUGGUUAGGUAUGUACCAGUGGGA